AACGAACGCUGGCGGCGCGCUUAACACAUGCAAGUCGAACGAGAAGGCGUAGCAAUACGCUUGUAGAGUGGCGAACGGGUGAGGAAUACAUGGGUAACCUACCCUCGAGAGGGGAAUAACCAGCCGAAAGGUUGGCUAAUGCCGCGUACGCUUCCCAGUCUGCGGAUUGGGAAGGAAAGCUCUGCCGUGGGCAGGGCGCUCAAGGAUGGGCUCAUGUCCUAUCAGCUUGUUGGUGAGGUAACGGCUCACCAAGGCUUCGACGGGUAGCUGGUCUGGGAGGACGAUCAGCCACACUGGCACUGCGACACGGGCCAGACUCCUACGGGAGGCAGCAGUGAGGAAUAUUGCGCAAUGGGCGAAAGCCUGACGCAGCGACGCCGCGUGGGGGAUGAAGGUCUUCGGAUUGUAAACCCCUUUCGGGAGGGAAGAUGGGACGAGCAAUCGUCCGGACGGUACCUCCAGAAGCAGCCACGGCUAACUUCGUGCCAGCAGCCGCGGUAAUAC
rnacentral:rRNA from 1 species